rnacentral:rRNA from 1 species
UUUGUUUGUAUGUUAUUUUUUACUUUUUAUGAGGUUGGAUAUUAUUAUUUGAUUGUAAUAAUAUUUUAAUUUAGGUAUAUCUAACUAAGAUGGGGAUUAGCUCAUUUUGGUUUAAUUUAUUAUAACUUUAUGUUAAUGGUUGUUAAUUAUUAGUUGUUAGGUUUUGAAUCUGUUAUAUUUAUAUAGUUCGUUUUAGGAAUCUUUUAAAUUAAUGUUUUUAAUUAUAUGGUGGUUUUGUUUUAAUUUUUUUAUGGGGGUGUUUUUUUUAAUUUGUUUGGAAAAGUAGUAAUUCCUUAAUUAGUAGAUUAUUGAUUAAUGUUUGGAAAGUUUUAAAAUAAAUGGUGGAAUUAUAUGUAUUAUGUGUCUUUUUUAAUUUCAGUAAAGGAACUAGGCAAAAAUAGCAUCUGCCUGUUUAUUAAAAACAUGGCUUUUUGUUAUAUAUAAUAAGUCUGGCCUGCUCUCUGAUAUCGUUAUAUUGAAGAGCUGCAGUAUACUUGACUGUACAAAGGUAGCAUAGUAGUUUGCCUAUUAAUUAUUGGCUUGUAUGAAUGGUUUGACAAGAUGUUGACUGUCUCUAUUGUAAGUAUAUUUAAUUUUACCUCCUAAAGUGAAGAGGCUAGGAUGGUUCUGAGGGACGAAAAGACCCUAUAGAUUUUUACUUAUUGAUUUACUUAUGUUUAUUAGGAGCGAAUUUAUGUUAUUAGUUGUUUGUAUAAUAGAUAAGUUUUACUGGGGCGGUAGUUAAAGAUAUGGAUCUUUAGUUUGAUAGUAAUGCACUGAUGGGUGUAAUGAUCCUUUAUUAUGGAUAAUAAGAUUUAAAUACCUUAGGGAUAACAGCGU